UGUUCUGGUAUUUGUAUCACCUUUUAAAAAUUUAUGUAUAUCAAAUAUCAUCAUGUGUUAAAGUUGUAUUUGUAUUUAUGUCUUUUAUACUAUGAUUAAGUCGGUUCUUUCUUUUUUACAAUGAGAUGUGAUAUUUUUUUUCUGUGAUUUUGCAGGUUUUAGAGCCUUGAAUUAUGCAUCCUAAACUGAUACUACAUAUUGAACUGUUUACGUUAUACUAAAUAUUUUGUUUUUUAAUGUCAGGUUUGGGUGCCCCUCUCAAUGUAGCAACACGAAAAAUUAUCUUUAGUCACUGUUUAUUGGCCUUGCAGUAAGUUUAUUGAUCCCAAGUUCUUUAGUCUAAUAAAUUGCAUUUAUCUUCUUUUAUGUAUUUAUAAUGAUACAUGCAUGAUCAAGGCUACUAAAGUUGCAAGAAUUUCUGGGGCACCACUUAGUAUGGUUGUGGAGUUAGUCGACUUGAAUCCCAAGAGGUUUGACAAAGUUGAAACAUUUGACGGCUAAGUUACUAACAAAGCAAAGACUGAGCCAUGGUGAGACACAAGCUUUCGGCACACCCUGUAGACUGGUGGUAGUCUUGGUUUAGCAAAUUGGAAGCGAGAUUGCACUCCUCACUACGUUAUCCUUCAAGUUCGAAGCAUUGGUGAUGGAAAUAAAUUUGUUGCAAUGAAUUACAACUCAUAAACAAACGUUUCCUGAUGUGGUAAAAUGGUUUUACCAAGUCUUCUUCCUUAUAGUCAACGAUGCUAAGCAAAAUGAAAACAAGCCCAUCAGAUUAGGGAAGUCCAAUCCUACUCAUUGUUCCUUAUUGUAGAUAGUGUUGUAAGUACAUUUUCCACAUGUAUGUAAAUAGCAUGGCAUAUCAUAUAUACAUUUAAAACUUUCUACAUG